ACCAAAUAAAUAUUAGAUUUUUUCUUCAUCUUUUAUAGUUUAAAAUUCUUUGUAUUGAGUUAUAAUUUUGGGAAAAAAAUAUUCUCUUAGGUCUGAGUAUUUGUCACAGAGUAAUGGGAAAUGCAGCUCUGUCUCUACCUGUCCCCUGGAGCAUAGUGAGCACAGCCUGUCCUCUCUGGGCAGCCAGGUUUGUCUGUGACGACCGGUCUCCAUAGCCAGACUGUCCUCUCUGGGCAGCCAGGUUUGUCUGUGACGACAGGUCUCCAUAGCCAGACUGUCCUCUCUGGGCAGCCAGGUUUGUCUGUGACGACCGGUCUCCAUAGCCAGACUGUCCUCUCUGGGCAGCCAGGUUUGUCUGUGACGACCGGUCUCCAUAGCCAGACUGUCCUCUCUGGGCAGCCAGGUUUGUCUGUGACGACUGGUCUCCAUAGCCAGACUGUCCUCUCUGGGCAGCCAGGUUUGUCUGUGACGACUGGUCUCCAUAGCCAGACUGUCCUCUCUGGGCAGCCAGGUUUGUCUGUGACGACCGGUCUCCAUAGCCAGACUGUCCUCUCUGGGCAGCCAGGUUUGUCUGUGACGACCGGUCUCCAUAGCCAGACUGUCCUCUCUGGGCAGCCAGGUUUGUCUGUGACGACAGGUCUCCAUAGCCAGACUGUCCUCUCUGGGCAGCCAGGUUUGUCUGUGACGACCGGUCUCCAUAGCCAGACUGUCCUCUCUGGGCAGCCAGGUUUGUCUGUGACGACCGGUCUCCAUAGCCAGACUGUCCUCUCUGGGCAGCCAGGUUUGUCUGUGACGACCGGUCUCCAUAGCCAGACUGUCCUCUCUGGGCAGCCAGGUUUGUCUGUGACGACCGGUCUCCAUAGCCAGACUGUCCUCUCUGGGCAGCCAGGUUUUUCUGUGACGACAGGUCUCCAUAGCCAGACUGUCCUCUCUGGGCAGCCAGGUUUGUCUGUGACGACCGGUCUCCAUAGCCAGACUUUCCUCUCUGGGCAGCCAGGUUUGUCUGUGACGACAGGUCUCCAUAGCCAGACUGUCCUCACUGGGCAGCCAGGUUUGUCUGUGACGACCGGUCUCUAUAGCCAGACUGUCCUCACUGGGCAGCCAGGUUUGUCUGUGACGACAGGUCUCCAUAGCCAGACUGUCCUCUCUGGGCAGCCAGGUUUGUCUGUGACGACCGGUCUCCAUA